rnacentral:rRNA from 1 species
GACGAACGCUGGCGGCGUGCUUAACACAUGCAAGUCGAACGGAAAGGCCCUGCUUUUGUGGGGUGCUCGAGUGGCGAACGGGUGAGUAACACGUGAGUAACCUGCCCUUGACUUUGGGAUAACUUCAGGAAACUGGGGCUAAUACCGGAUAGGAGCUCCUGCUGCAUGGUGGGGGUUGGAAAGUUUCGGCGGUUGGGGAUGGACUCGCGGCUUAUCAGCUUGUUGGAGGGGUAGUGGCUUACCAAGGCUUUGACGGGUAGCCGGCCUGAGAGGGUGACCGGCCACAUUGGGACUGAGAUACGGCCCAGACUCCUACGGGGGGCAGCGGUGGGGAAUAUUGCACAAUGGGCGGAAGCCUGAUGCAGCAACGCCGCGUGCGGGAUGACGGCCUUCGGGUUGUAAACCGCUUUCGCCUGUGACGAAGCGUGAGUGACGGUAAUGGGUAAAGAAGCACCGGCUAACUACGUG